ensembl:lincRNA
CCGCCGCUAGCUGCCGCGCGUGGCGAGGGCGGAGGCGGCCACGCACAUCAGGGAGGCCCCACGCGGAACUUACCUGAGGAGAAAGACCCUGCGCCGGGCCGGGAAAGGAGGAGGGCAGGCCUAGAUGAGGUGUCUGCCGCAGAAUUCAGAACUUAGGGCCCCACCCUGGAGACAGAUGUCACUGCUGCCCCAGGGCCCCCGUCUCCGCGUCUGGGAGUGGCGCACCCCAGUGUAGCUGCGUUCAACUUCGGCAACAGAGCUAUUCUGACCCAACACGGCGCAGCGCUUCUCCCCACGCCAGUCUCCCAGCUCCAGCGCGACUCCAUCCCCACCGCGGGCUUCCUGCUGCCCAGUGGUGUAGGCGGGCAGGUGCUGACCACAGUGCUGAAGCUGUUGGAUGUGGUCACGCGCCCCACCGUGUCUGGCCGUCUUUAAAAUGUUGGGUGCCACUUUGGAUCCUGCUGGCCACAGGAAAAGGAAUGGCAUGUCCCAAAUACGGUGUCUUCGUUCUGGAUGUGGACUAAGGAAGGCGUGUGCUAAUUACACACUGAGGACAUCAUGACACUCAUACUGAGUAACCCCAACAUUGUGAUGACUGGUAAGUAUCACAUUUUCUCAAAAUUCAUCAAUGAAUCCAAAACAUUUAGUGGGACAUACAAUAUCAUACAAUAUUAUUCAAGAUGUUUCUAAUACUCUUUACAGUAUUUAAUUACUGGAAGACAGUAAUCCCAUAGAGGAAGAAAAAUGCAUGCUAACCAUAAGACUGUCAAAAUUAUGAGUCCCGAUACCUGUGACCAGUUAACCAGUGGAUGCUGCAUGCCUGAGAUUCUUCCUGUGAGGCCUGAAUGAACCAUGGGCUUUGGAGAAGGAGCGGAGUAGCGGGAUGAAGCCAGUUCCCAUCAUAUCCCAUUCUUCUUUCGUUAGGCCCUAAUGAUAAGACCACCAGAGUUGCUAAGCUCUUCCUCAUGUAUCACUAAUCUUGCUUCUAAAUUCUACAUGAUUAAUGCAGAAAUUUUUGGAAUAAGGUGAUGAAGUGUGAAACAGCUUCGUUUCUAAUCUACAUUUUUACAUUACAAAAUAUUGCAAAUUUCCUUUCAAACCCAGCCUAAACUCACUCAUGUGAACUCCUAGAGCAAUCUCUAGUAACUUUGUCACAACUCUCACUAUGCUUUAUCAUGAAUUACUUAUUUGUUCAUCUCUCUUGCUAUUAUAUAAGCUUUUAGAGGCUAAAAUCUUCCACAUCUUGUAUAUAUUUUUUACCUCUAGAAGUCUCUAAUAAGCAUUCCUUAAAUAUUGAUUGAAUAAAUAAGGAAUCUAAAUAUUACUUAUAAACUAUCAAGCAAAUCUGAGCAUUUUAUAACCCAAAAAGUUUAUAAGAUCGUGUACUGCGUUCUACACAUCAUAUUUUAAAUCAAGUAUAUAAAAGUUUGUUUUAUCCCAGAUUAUAAUUUGUCAUGUAAGUGACGAUUAGUAAUUUGAGGUGCCAAACUGAGUGUCCUGUUUAGACCACUUGCCUAGCUGUCAAUUUCACUAUGCUCGAGCAAGUGAAAGACAUUUUGUUUAAGAUAUAAAAUAAAAUAACACAUCCUCAUGUGAUUUUAUGAGGAGGUGAUCAUGUAUGUUACAAAUGCUCUCUUAAUAUAAACUAGCAGUCCCUACAAUGAAUAUACAAAUAAUUACAGCUAUUCUGAAUUUGAAGAAAAAGUCAUUUAAACAUUAAGCUGAAAUCAGCCACAGUAAGAGUGGAGUGAUCAGCCAUUCUAAUGUUAAAGAAGAAAUCAGAAAGAAAAGUAAUUCAGGAAUGUGCUCCACACACAGAGAGAAAAAUAAUGCCUGAAAAAUCAAAGGGAUGAUUUUGAACAGUUACAGUGAAGACCAUUGAUUCAUUCUUUUUGAUGUAUGUAUAAAUCUUAUCUAUCAAUUAUUCCUAUUUCCCUAAUUGUGUGCCAAACUUUGUGUAAGGUAUAGAAAUUUAAACAAUGAAAAAGAUUAUCUUGUCUUUUGCAAGAACAAUAAGAAAUGUACUUUUUGCUUAAGAUUGCUUUUUCUCUAGUUCCAUACAAAGCAUAGAACUAUUUUUUUCUAGAUCUGUGAAAAAAUGAUGUUGGUGUUUUAAUAGGGAUUGCACUGAAUCUGUAGGUCAUGUUGGGUAGUACGGACAUUUUAACAAUGUUGAUUCUGCUGACCCAUGAACAUGGUAUGGUUUUCCACCUGUUUACAUUCUUUGCUAUUUCCUUCCUCAGUGUUUCAUAGUUCUCCCUGUAGAGGUCUUUUACCUCCUUCCUUAAAUAUAUUCCUAGGUAUUUAUUUUCUUUGUUGCUUUUGUGAAGAGUAUUGAGUCUUUGAUUUGGUUCUCAGUUUGACUGCUGUUGGCAUAUAGGAAUGCUACUGAUUUGUGUACAUUGAUUUUGUAACCUGAGACUUUGAUGAAUUUGUUCACCAAUUCCAGUAGUCUCGUGAGAGAAUCUUUUUUUCUUCUGGAAUUCUUACAGUUUCAGGUCUUAGGUUUAAGUCUGUUAUCCACUGUGAGUUAAUUUUUGUGAUAGGUGAAAGGUGUGGAUCCUGAUUCAGUCUUCUACAUGUGGCUAUCCAGUUUUCCCAGCACCAUUUAUUGAAUAAAGAUUCUUUUACCCAGUGUAUGUUUUUGUCUGCUUUGUUAAAAAUUAGAUAGCUAUAUGAGGAUGGUUUUAUAUCUGGUUUCUCAGUUCUGUUCCAUUGGUCUAUGUCUCUGUUAUUGUGCCAAUACCAUACUAUUUUAAUUACUUUACACAAAGGCAAUCACAGCAACAAGAACAAAAAAUAAAUAAAUGGGAUGUGAUCAAAUUAAAAAGCUUUUGCACAGCC